rnacentral:lncRNA from 1 species
CUGUAGAUCACAUUUGCAUAUGUUAGUAAUAUUUUUUCUAAUACACAUUAAAAUAAAAUAAACAAAACAAAACUUAGGAGUUCCUGCUGUGGUGCAGUGGAUCCAACUGUAUCAGCUUGGGUUGCUGCAGUUCAAUCCCUGGCCCAUGCAGUGGAUUUAAGAUCUGUGGCGUAGGUUGCAACUGCGGCUUUGAUUUGAUCCCUGGCCCAGGUACUUCCAUAUGCUGCAGGUGCGGCCGAAAAAGGAAUAAAAAAGAACAUUAACAAUAAAUUUUUUACUGAAAAGAAUGGAUAUGUGUAUAACUGAACCACUUUGUUGUACAACAGAAAUUAAUACAACAUUGUAAAUCAACUAUACUUCAAUAGAACUUUAAAAAAUAAAAUUUAAAUGUCCACCUGCCACUAGAAAAUGUUCCAUAAUCACACUUUGAGACCCACUGUCCUACAAGGAAGGGACUAGAUUAAUUCAAAAUUGUGUUCCUUUUAAGAUCUGCUCUCUGGUGACCAGGUGACCUCCCUUUGUCAUUUUUACACUCAGAUCCUUUUAGCAAAAAUAAAGCCCCUGACCUCCACUCUGGCUCAAGUUCUUUUCUUUCCAGCUACUCAAGGUUUCAUACAUUCAAUAACAUACUUGGUAAGGGCUUCUUGUGACAAAGCCAGCUCUGUAAGUCCAUGGAGGGGACUCCAUGGCUCCUUCCUUCCUGACUUGUUAAAUGUUGUUGGACAGUGUUAGGUCAAGGGCAGCUGCUGAGGUUAUGUGAACUGCCCACUUACCUGGCCCCACCUGCUGAGCUUGGAGGCAUCCUUCAGGUCAUAGGUACACUCAUGUCUGGGCUCAGACACAGAGAAAUUCCCUUGGUAUGAACUGCCAGGAAUCAUUGGCAUGGAUGACAUGCUCUCAGGGGAGCCUCAAAGUUUUCUCAGGAUUUUCCAAGGGCUCUCCUGUUGCUGCUCCCAGGAGCAGGCAGCAAAGCUUAGCAAGAUCAUUCCCUGUUUCUCUCUUAAAAGUCUCCCCAGCUGAGAGGCAGCUUUAUUGAUAAUUUGAUCUGUGUCACCUACAGUCACUUUCUGACCCUGGAUUCGGGAUUCUAACAAUUUAUCAUUGAGGUCACUGAUUGUAAGCACCAGACAUUGACUAUGGAGAAAAGGGGAUUUUAUUAGAGCAACCCUGGAGAGUUUGCAGAACUGAGGAGAUGGACAAUCUGACCUCAGGAAGGGCAGGAACCUGGGCAGCUGGGUAGCUGGACCCACAGCAGGUCCCUUGGAGGGCUACCAUCAUGUGACUCUGCCCCAAUCCUGGCCCCAGCCCUUGUUGGGAAGGGUAGUAUGGUUGACAGCCUCCCCAGGAUCAUGUGCAAAGAGAAUGGUGAGGUGGGGUUCUGUUGUCAUAGAAAAAAGUAUUGAAAAACCCACAGAUGCCCACUGCUGAGUUGCAUAAGGAGUAACAGAAUAAGAAAAUCAAAAAGUAACGUAGAAUUUAUUUGCUCAAUGCAACAAGUUGGGGCUUAGGAAAUCAAGACCUGGAGAGGUUAAAUAACUUUUUCAUGGCAAAACCAGGCCUCAAAUCCAGCCAGGUUCCCUGACUCUUAGAGCAGGGCUUCUUCCACUUCAUACUCUACUGUGGACAAAGGAAGAAAAUACAGGAAAAUACAAUUAAGCCUUUGGAAUCUUCUCAUCACCACUGGCAGCUGUGUUUCAAUUUGCUUCUUCUUGGAGCAUCUUUAAUAUUUCAGUGUUCAGAGUUCCCGUCGUGGCGCAGUGGUUAACGAAUCCGACUAGGAACCAUGAGGUUGCAGGUUCGGUCCCUGCCCUUGCUCAGUGGGUUAACGAUCCAGCGUUGCCGUGAGCUGUGGUGUAGGUUGCAGACUCGGCUUGGAUCCCGAGUUGCUGUGG